AGGGCUGUUGCUAGAACUUGCAACAUUCUGACUGGAUUACCAAUUAACCAAAGCGUCCGUUGCAAUGCUGGUUGCUUGGUUACCUUUAAGCUGUAUUUUAUGGUGACAUUGCUCGCUACUUAUGAAAGCACCACUGAUCUCGACAAGGGGUGCAACUUUGAUAGGGGGGCAGAGAAAUUCACAAUUCAGGGUAACGUUAAGCAGUUAAUUUCUAUUACUGUCACUGUUUGAUAACUGGAAGGAUUCAUGUACAACCAUUUAACAACAAAAAAUUAAUCUUGCUAACGUAAAUUGGUCAUCUACAUGUUACUAGCUAUACAUUUAGUUAUAUGUCUGUCACAUUGAGGUGUCUAGCUACUGUGUAAGUUAACCCUGAUCAAUCAAAUGGAUAGCUGUAAACAAUUAUGGUAACUCCAACUGCCCUUAACUAGGUGUCUUCGUCAGACAGAGAGACCCAUACAGAAAGAGAGAGGAAGAAAGUGAGAAAUGAGAAGGUGGGAAAAGAGUGAAAGACAGAGAUAGAGAUGAAGAGUGAGUGAAACAGAAAGAGAAAGACAUCAGUGCAAAUUUACAAAGACUUUAGUAUUUCAACAACUCUUCCAACUUGUUAGGCAAUCACAUGUGCCUGCGGGGGAAGGAUGGCCAGACACACAGGAGGGUGAUUUUCACUAAGGAGGAAAAGGAGACGGUGCUGACAGAGAUGCAUGCUGGACAUUUCGGAGUGAAGCGAAUGACUGCCAAAAUCAUCCUACGCUUCUUCUGGCAUGGGAUUGUCAAGGAUGUGGACAGCUGGGACAAGACUGGCGAGUCCACCUCCAAAGUGAUGAUGGACAUCUUUAACACUCACUGUGCUCCUGAGGUAACCUUGAGUGAUCGAGGUCGUGAACUCUGGAACAAGGGUUACCUCGUUGGAAGCCAACAUUCUUCUCCAGUUGGAGCAGUUGGACGGUCAAUCCACUGCAAGCCCUGACUCCUUACACCUCGGUGAAGCCCAUGAGACAAAAUGAAAUUCUGCAUCUAGUGAUUUCUGAUUGCCAAACAAUCUGCACACUCAUCCCAUCCCCUCCAUUUCAUUACAUAAUCUAAAGCUACUGUUAUUGUUAUGUUGUCAUUAUCUGCUAAUACAGUUUGCUAGCCGUAUCAUACUGGGCAUAUAAUAUGUGAGAUACGCAGAUGAACUAAAAACCACUAGCACUGCAAACACUCAGAACAAAGAAGCAGCAGUGCCUGGACUUCGCAGUCUCCCUCUUCAAGUCCCACUUCCAAGACUGCCUGUUAAGAACAAGUGACAGGCAGAACCUCCCAAUCACACAGCACCCACCUCUUUAUUCCACACACCAGAAUUAAGUAUUUCAGUCUGAUUGCCAUGUGAGUGUACAAAAAAGUAUCUGUGAAAAUAAAUUAAUGACACAACUGUACCAAAAAAAACGUUUCAUGUAUUAAAAUCUUAAAUAUUGCCAG
ensembl:lncRNA